GUGGAUGAUGACCGGAGUAGCUUCUGACUUUGUGAUGAAAGAUGGGCGAGCUGACA
rnacentral:ncRNA from 17 species